CAGACAAUAUUUUAACAGAAUUCUGGCCCUGGGCGUCGGAGGGGGGAGUGAAAGUCUUUCUUGUUUGA
rnacentral:tRNA from 1 species